ACAAAUCAAACGCACCCAAAUGAGCAUCAUCAUCACCGUGGUCUGGGCAGCGUGCUGGCUACACAAGAUCUACAGUACCAGUCUAAAAAGCAAGAAGGGGUGAAUGAUUGAUCACUGUGGGCCUCUGGGAGACAGGUGAGCCUACAGUAGUAGCACGACGUCAACUGUGUCACAUCGCUGUGUCAGGAUGUGUCAGCUAACUCGCCAUGGCAACUGCUGAGUGACAGGAGGAGCAGCUCGGAGAAACAGUCGUGAGCACCAUCACAAUGGAUUCGCACGUCCUUGGGAGGAAGAAUAUAUCCAAACAUGAAAAAAUGUGAUUUUCCUUCACACCUCAGUUGUACUGUCAUCCCUUGGGUGACGCAGACAGGAAAUGGGAAUGAGUGCUUCCUGCCUGAGCCGGCUUUGAAGGCAGACUACGAGGGACGAUGUCAUGGCGAAGCAAUGUUCCUGCGCUUUCACCAGGCUCUUUGUAAUGUGUGAUUUACAGCUUCCCCCCCUGCUGUUUCAUCUGUGAUUUAGUGUUUCCCGGUCAGAUGGCUAUCAGCUGCCUUACCAAGUCCGCUCUGUUCCUGCAGAACGCUACGUGGAAACAGAAGUGACACAACAGAGCUUUAGGCCACGAUCAGGACUUUGCAUAACAGCAUUUUAAAUAGAUGGGUAUAUAAACACUGAUCUACAUUGUGGUAAUAAAGUAAAAUAACCCAAAGUCAUACAUGGUAAUUAUAAGUAAUGGAACAAGUAUGCAGAUCAUUUACUUAAGUAAAAAGUACCUCAUUGCAUUCAAAAUCAAAGUAAAUAAAGGGACAGAAGUGUUGUCAGUAAUAUACUUUAAGUAUCAAAACUAAACGUCAUUGCUCUGCAGAAAAAUGUCUCUUUUGACUGAUGCUUUAUGACAUUAUUGGAUGCAUCAAUGUGUACUGUAAGUAGCGUUUUACUGUUGUUACUGGUCGAGGUGGAGCUAGUUUAUGUUCUUUUGGCCUAGAACUUUUGUUUUGAAAUGAUACCAUAUGGAGUUUGACGGGGAAAUCACUCUUUGGUGGUACUGCUAACAACUCAUAGACAUCUGAAACAAGUAGACGCUGCUUUUUGAUGCGAGCUUAUCUUAUGGGGCGGCUGCGGCUCAGGUAGAGUGGGUUAUCUACUAAUCAGAAGGUCGGCAGUUUGAUCCCCGACUCCUCCAGUCCGCAUGUCGAAGUGUCCUUGGGCUGAAAAAUACUGAAUACUGAAGCAUUUUGGAUAAAAGUGCUGUAUCAAUGCAGCAAUUUAUUUAUCAGGUAAUGUAAGAUUUAUUUGUAGCAUACACAUUAUACAUGACAAUGGCAGUGGUGGCAAUGUUGGCUGAAGAAAAAUGCCUUUUUUUUCCUGAAAUGUGGUGAAGUAGAAGUAUA